GCACCAAGCUGCGAUGUUUGGAUUCGAUAGGAGGGGGGGAGAUGGGUUUUUCAGGCUCUGGUGGUUUGGCUGCUUCUUCCUCCAACUGUUGCUGCUUCUUCUUCAGCUUGGAGAUCUGCUGCUCCACCAUGGUGAUCUCGCGGUCCACGCGGUCCAUGUUCUGGAUGAGCUCCUCCUUGGACAGCCGGGCUGGCAGCAGGUCCAGCUCGGCCUCUGGGUGCGCGGGGCUGACGGGAGACACGGGCUCCAGCUUGCCAGGCAGGCCACGGUCCUUGGGCAGCUCCUCGCUGCCCGCCUGCUGGCCCUGGCUCAGGAGGGGCGAGUGCCGCAGCAGCGGGUCCUGCAGCAGGUCCAGGCGCGGCCGCUUCGUUUCGAUGAACUCCAAAUCUGAUGGCUUGGUCAGGUCAGAGAGAUAGGAAUGCGCCUCGGUCCUCAGGUGCAGCUCCUGAGAUCUUUCAUUGCCCGGCUGGAACUCGGACAGCAGGGACGGCCUCCUCCGCUGCGGCUGC
rnacentral:lncRNA from 1 species